rnacentral:lncRNA from 1 species
CCCUCAAAAUUUUAGGAUUUUAGAGUCUAUCGGUGACUCAAAAACUUAAAAAUUUGAAGGUUCGAAGGCCUAUUGGAGAUGCUGGAGUAGCGCACGCUUUGCCUUUGGGGUUACGCGUUUAUCGAGUUCACUCACUUUUUAACCAACCACUCCUUUGCAGCCUUUUUACACUAAACUUUUCUCUGUUAUACUCUUCUCUUGUCCAUAUUCCACACACCUCUUAUUUUAACUUCCGAAUGUUUCAUUGAUAUUAUUGAUGUUAUAUAUGAUUACGACUAACUAAAUAGGAGUACUACAUACAUCGAUAGAAGAUAUAUCCCUUGUUUCCAAAAAACAAAAGGUUAACCAGGUAGACAUCUGCAGUAUACUAGUGUAUAUUUUUGGUGUUACAUUCUAUAUUAGAUAUUAUCACAUCAGAUACUAUAUGCAUGUCCAAUAUUAGUGAGUUUUGGUUAGUACCGAUUCUUACAUUAUCAUAACAAAAU